GACGAACGCUGGCGGCGUGCCUAACACAUGCAAGUCGAACGUCCUUUCCGCGAGGGGAGGGCGUGGCGGACGGGUGAGGAACACGUGGGUGACCUGCCCUGCAGUGGGGGAUACCGGUGCGAAAGUGCCGACAAUCCCGCAUACGGUGGUGUCUUGCAAGAGGCACCAGGAAAGCUUUCUGCCGGAGGGUGGGAGGCGCUGCAGGAGGGGCCUGCGCCCGAUUAGCUGGUUGGUGGGGUAACGGCCCACCAAGGCGACGAUCGGUAGCUGGUCUGAG
rnacentral:rRNA from 1 species